AGUGUGAAAGUUGAGCAGAAUAUUUGUGUCUGAGUUCAGUUCUGUAACAUCCUCUGAACAAACUGAUUAACAAGAUGAGGAAACAUCAUGUUUAACAGCUAGAUAUGGAUAUUUAUUAAUGUCAGUGAUGUGUUACUGUCAGCAUCACA